rnacentral:tRNA from 1 species
GGGCUUGUAGCUCAGCCGGUUAGAGCGCACGCUUGAUAAGCGUGAGGUCGGAAGUUCGAGUCUUCCCAGGCCCACCA